CGGCCAAUAAGGGUAUCCGGAUUAUUGGGCGUAAGCGAGCGCAGGCGGUCUUUUAAGUCUAAUGUGAAAGCCUUCGGCUCAACCGAAGAAGUGCAUUGGAAACUGGGAGACUUGAGUGCAGAAGAGGACAGUGGAACUCCAUGUGUAGCGGUGAAAUGCGUAGAUAUAUGGAAGAACACCAGUGGCGAAGGCGGCUGUCUGGUCUGCAACUGACGCUGAGGCUCGAAAGCAUGGGUAGCGAACAGGAUUAGAUACCCUGGUAGUCCAUGCCGUAAACGAUGAUUACUAAGUGUUGGAGGGUUUCCGCCCUUCAGUGCUGCAGCUAACGCAUUAAGUAAUCCGCCUGGGGAGUACGACCGCAAGGUUGAAACUCAAAAGAAUUGACGGGGGCCCGCACAAGCGGUGGAGCAUGUGGUUUAAUUCGAAGCUACGCGAAGAACCUUACCAGGUCUUGACAUCUUCUGACAGUCUAAGAGAUUAGAGGUUCCCUUCGGGGACAGAAUGACAGGUGGUGCAUGGUUGUCGUCACCUCGUGUCUUGAGAUGUUGGGUUAAGUCCCGCAACGAGCGCGGCCCUUAUUACUGGUUGCCACCCUUGAGUUGGGCACUCUAGUGAGACUGCCGGUGACAAACCGGACGAAGGUGGGGACGAUCUCCCAUCAUUAUGCCCCUUAUGACCUUGGCUACGGACGUGCUAUGAUGGAUGGUGCAAUCAGUUUCCAGACUUCGAGGUGCAGCUCAUCUCUUGAAACCAUUGGCUUUUCAUAAUAUAUGCAGCAACUCCCCUACUGCAAUUCACGAAUCACUAAUAGUCGCAGAUCUUGCGCCGCCGUGAAUACGUCCCCGCGCGGAGAAA
rnacentral:rRNA from 2 species